GGCUUCGUGGCCCAAUGGCAAGGCGUCUGACUACGACGAGUUCUGAGUAAUCAGGAGAUUCUGGGUUCGACCCCCAGCGAGGUCA